rnacentral:rRNA from 1 species
UCACCCGCUGAAUUUAAGCAUAUUAUUAAGCGGAGGAAAAGAAACUAACCAGGAUUCCCCUGUAACGGCGAGCGAA